AAAGGAAGUCAGGGUGAGCCACGGUUCUUCUGCUCAUCAGUGUUCACAAAGGCCAGGCCCCACUUAUCUUCUAAGAGAAGUGUGCAGCCCAUCCACAUGGACCCAGGAAUGCAGCAAACACAUGAGCACCAUCUACUGAUCCCCCUUCCCAGUUGCCGGUGCUGGGGUGGACAAAGGGCAGAGCCAGCCCCUGCCACGCCCUCGGGGAGGGUGGAGGCUCCAGGUGGAGCGGGUCAGAGGAAGCAGGUCCAAGUGUGAACCAGCUCUGGCUUCAAGUGAGCGAGGCUGGACUUGCUGAGACACGGGUGAAUGAUGACAAGCCGGAUUUGGACAGCGGUGACCUUUAGGGGCACAGAGAGGAACAGACCAGGAGGGGGUGGUAAUGCACCGAGGGCUUUCUGUGUACAUAAUUUCUAAAGCUGGGUGGAAGGAACAGUGUUGAGUAUUUUUAUAUAUUUCUGAAUGCCCCAAACCCUUCAUUGUUUACAAUUAAGGCUACUUUUAGAGCAGUUUUGGGCACAGCAAAUGUGGGGGGAAGGUAAGGGACUUCCUGUGCAUCCCCUGCCCCCACACAGGCACCAGCAACAUCCCCAUCGGUGGGUACAUUUGUUACAAUUGAUGAAGCUCCGUGGACACAUCAUCACCGCUCAGAGCCCAGAAUUGACCUCCUGUGGGUUUGGACACAUGGAUCGUGACCUGUAUCCAUUGCUAUCACAUCACACAGAGGAUUUUCUCCCAGGGACGGGGGAGCCUGGUGGGCUGCCGUCUAUGGGGUCACACAGAGUCGGACACGACUAAAGUAACUUAGCAGCAGCAGCAGCAAAGAAGAAACAUGGGGCGUCCACGCUAAGUGUCUGCUGGUCAUGGGAGUGUUUCCUGUGGGGUGCAGCUGAUGAGGGGCACCCUGAAAGCCACAGAAGGGAUAACAGGGUGGAAUACCCCGGAAACCAUGGGCUGGAACAGUGGGGGCAAGAAGCAAUGGGUUCGGGUGUGGCUUCAGCAGAGGAAUUCAUCGAGUAAAUUUGAAGGAGUGAACCGCCAGGUGCCAACAGCCUCACUGCAGCAUUGCUGAUGAACAGCACAGAUCAGAACAGCCCUCAGGCCCUUCAGGUUGGGAACAGUGAGAUAAAUGAAGGUGUAGCCAUUCGAGAAAAGGCUUGAGAUCCUUAAAAGGGGCAGCUGUGCAUAAUACCUUCAAACACAAGUUUUUAAACAG
ensembl:lncRNA